rnacentral:rRNA from 1 species
GAGUCUGCAACUCGACUCCAUGAAGUCGGAAUCGCUAGUAAUCGUGGAUCAGAAUGCCACGGUGAAUACGUUCCCGGGCCUUGUACACACCGCCCGUCACACCAUGGGAGUGGGUUGCAAAAGAAGUAGGUAGCUUAACCUUCGGGAGGGCGCUUACCACUUUGUGAUUCAUGACUGGGGUGAAGUCGUAACAAGGUAACCGUAGGGGAACCUGCGGUUGGAUCACCUCCUUACCUUAAAGAAGC